UACGAAGGGGGCUAGCGUUGCUCGGAAUCACUGGGCGUAAAGGGCGCGUAGGCGGCCUGCUAAGUCGGAUGUGAAAUCCCUCGGCUCAACCGAGGAACUGCAUCCGAUACUGGCGGGCUUGAAUCCGGGAGAGGGAUGUGGAAUUCCAGGUGUAGCGGUGAAAUGCGUAGAUAUCGGGAGGAACACCAGAGGCGAAAGCGGUUAACUGGGUCUAAACUGACGCUGAGGCGCGAAGGCUAGGGGAGCAAACAGG
rnacentral:rRNA from 1 species